AACUCGGCCCUUUUCAGGGCCCCAAAUUCUCAAAAAAGAGAAUAGU
rfam:Lottia gigantea unplaced genomic scaffold LOTGIsca_3, whole genome shotgun sequence.